AGGUGAGUAAGUCCUUCUGAAAGGAUGAUGCCCGCGGACGCGGGGUGGGAUCGAGUAAGAAUGGUUUCACCU
rnacentral:sRNA from 1 species